rnacentral:rRNA from 1 species
UACGUAGGGUGCAAGCGUUGUCCGGAAUUAUUGGGCGUAAAGGGCUCGUAGGCGGUCCGUCACGUCGGGAGUGAAAACUUGGGGCUUAACCCCAAGCCUGCUUCCGAUACGGGCGGACUAGAGGUAGGCAGGGGAGAACGGAAUUCCUGGUGUAGCGGUGAAAUGCGCAGAUAUCAGGAGGAACACCGGUGGCGAAGGCGGUUCUCUGGGCAUGAUCUGACGCUGAGGAGCGAAAGCGUGGGGAGCGAACAGG